rnacentral:rRNA from 1 species
GCGGAGGGGCGGGAGCUUACACAUGCAAGUCGAGGGGUAGGGCAGCAAUGCCUGAGACCGGCGCACGGGUGCGUAACGCGUAUGCAACCUGCCUUAUGCAGGGGGAUAGCCCAUGGAAACGUGGAUUAAUACCCCAUAGGACUACAGUGCCGCAUGGCAUAGUAGUUAAAAUUACGGUGGCAUAAGAUGGGCAUGCGUCUGAUUAGCUAGAUGGCGGGGCAACGGCCCACCAUGGCGACGAUCAGUAGGGGUCCUGAGAUGGCAACCCCCCACACUGGCACUGAGACACGGGCCAGACUCCUACGGGAGGCAGCAGUGAGGAAUAUUGGUCAAUGGGCGGAAGCCUGAACCAGCCAUCCCGCGUGGAGGAUGAAGGCCCUAUGGGUUGUAAACUCCUUUUCUGCGCGGAGAAACGCCCCGACGAGUCGGGGUUUGACGGUAGCGCAGGAAUAAGCAUCGGCUAACUCCGUGCCAGCAGCCGCGGUAAUACGGAGGAUGCAAGCGUUAUCCGGAUUUAUUGGGUUUAAAGGGUGCGCAGGCGGCUGCGCAAGUCAGUGGUGAAAACCUGCCGCUUAACGGUAGGCCUGCCAUUGAUACUGCGCGGCUUGAGUAUGGUUGAGGUAGGCGGAAUGUGCGGUGUAGCGGUGAAAUGCAUAGAUAUCGCACAGAACGCCGAUUGCGAAGGCAGCUUACUAAGCCAUCACUGACGCUGAGGCACGAAAGCGUGGGUAGCGAACAGGAUUAGAUACCCUGGUAGUCCACGCCGUAAACGAUGUUCACCCGCUGUUUGCGAUAUAAAGCAAGCGGCUGAGCGAAAGCAUUAAGUGAACCACCUGGGGAGUACGCCCGCAAGGGUGAAACUCAAAGGAAUUGACGGGGGCCCGCACAAGCGGAGGAACAUGUGGUUUAAUUCGAUGAUACGCGAGGAACCUUACCUGGGCUUAAAUGGGGAGUGACAGCUGCUGAAAGGCGGCCUUCUUCGGACACUCUCCAAGGUGCUGCAUGGUUGUCGUCAGCUCGUGCCGUGAGGUGUCGGGUUAAGUCCCAUACGAGCGCACCCUUGCCGUUAGUUGCCAUCGGGUCAGCCGGGACUCUAGCGGACUGCCGCCGUAAGGUUGAGAGGAAGGGGGGGAUGACGUUCAAAUCAG